ensembl:snoRNA
GGGCAUACUAGUAGACCUUGCCUGACUGUGCUCAUGGCCAGGCAGGGGGGACAGUGUAUGCAAGAAUAAUUUGGAGUUCCUGCCAGCUCUAACCAGCUUCAUCAGUGGCUGGAUAAAUUGCAGGACUCUAAACAUUU